AUUGGGAAUGGUGUGAAUGAUAGUGUACGACCUUUCAUUGGUUGCAAACGAAGUUUUUUUUUCGGAUUGAAAGCAUAAACAUAAUAAAAAUCUUAAUAUUUAAAAUUUAAUUGCAUUAUGGGUAAAUUCGGAUCGUGUAGAUAGAAUGGGGAAUGGUGUAUGGUGUAAAGUGUAAGGUGUAUGGUGCAAAGGUGUAACGUGUAUGGUGUAAUGGUACAAGGUGUAUGGUGUAAUGGUGUAUGGUGUAUGGUGUAAUGGUGUAUGGUGUUAGUGGGAAGUUUACACCAUCCAAGGACUGUAAC
rnacentral:lncRNA from 1 species